GACGUAGGGUCCAAGCGUUGUCCGGAUUUACUGGGCGUAAAGAGCGCGUAGGCGGUCUGUUAAGUGUAGAGUGAAAUCUCCAGGGCUCAACCCGGAAACUGCUCUGCAUACUGGCAGACUGGAGUGAUGCAGAGGUUUGUGGAAUUCCUGGUGUAACGGUGAAAUGUGUUGAUAUCAGGAGGAACACCCAUGGCGAAGGCAGCAAACUGGGCAUUAACUGACGCUGAGGCGCGAAAGCGUGGGGAGCGAACAGG
rnacentral:rRNA from 1 species